rnacentral:rRNA from 1 species
CGAACGCUGGCGGCGUGCUUAACACAUGCAAGUCGAAACGCGAAAGGGACUUCGGUCCUGAGUAAAGUGGCGCACGGGUGAGUAACGCGUAGAUAACCUGUCUUCAUGUCUGGAAUAAUACGCCGAAAGGGGUACUAAUACCGGAUAUUCUUGCUUUUCAUAAGUUAUGCAAGCAAAGGUGGCCUCUGCAUAUGCUACUGCAUGAAGAGGGGUCUGCGUACCAUUAGCUAGUAGGUGGGGUAAUGGCCUACCUAGGCGACGAUGGUUAGCGGGUCUGAGAGGAUGAUCCGCCACACUGGCACUGGAACACGGGCCAGACUCCUACGGGAGGCAGCAGUGAGGAAUAUUGCGCAAUGGGGGAAACCCUGACGCAGCGACGCCGCGUGAGUGAAGGAAGGCCUUCGGGUCGUAAAGCUCUGUCAAGAGGAAAGAAGUGUACAAUGGCUAAUACCUGUUGUAUUUGACGGUACCUCUAAAGGAAGCACCGGCUAACUCCGUGCCAGCAGCCGC